rnacentral:rRNA from 1 species
CCCUUAGAUGUUCUGGGCUGCACGCGCGCUACACUGAUGCGCUCAACGAGUUUAUGACCUUGCCCGGAAGGGUUGGGUAAUCUUUUUAAAACGCAUCGUGAUGGGGAUAGAUUAUUGCAAUUAUUAAUCUUCAACGAGGAAUGCCUAGUAAACGCAAGUCAUCAGCUUGCAUUGAUUACGUCCCUGCCCUUUGUACACACCGCCCGUCGCUCCUACCGAUUGAAUGAUCCGAUGAAUAUCAUGGAUUGAGGAUGCAAGCAGGUUCGCCUGUCUUCAUCUUCGAGAAGUGAAGUAAAUCUUAUCAUUUAGAGGAAGGAGAAGUCGUAACA